ensembl:snoRNA
AGUGCUGUUGGAGGAUGAAGCCUUUGAGUGAUCCAUCAGCAGAGCACAAUGUUGCCAUGCUGACACUUGUGCUGCUGACAAUGCACU